CAGUCGCCACGGUAAUACAGAGGGUGCGAGCGUUAAUCGGAUUUACUGGGCGUAAAGCGUGCGUAGGCGGCUUCUUAAGUCGGAUGUGAAAUCCCUGAGCUUAACUUAGGAAUUGCAUUUGAUACUGGGAAGCUAGAGUAUGGGAGAGGAUGGUAGAAUUCCAGGUGUAGCGGUGAAAUGCGUAGAGAUCUGGAGGAAUACCGAUGGCGAAGGCAGCCAUCUGGCCUAAUACUGACGCUGAGGUACGAAAGCAUGGGGAGCAAACAGGAUUAGAUACCCGUGUAGUCCCUGUCUCUUAUAC
rnacentral:rRNA from 1 species